CAGUAGCCGCGGUAAUACGUAGGUGGCAAGCGUUGUCCGGAAUUAUUGGGCGUAAAGGGCUCGCAGGCGGUUUCUUAAGUCUGAUGUGAAAGCCCCCGGCUCAACCGGGGAGGGUCAUUGGAAACUGGGAAACUUGAGUGCAGAAGAGGAGAGUGGAAUUCCACGUGUAGCGGUGUAAUGCGUAGAGAUGUGGAGGAACACCAGUGGCGAAGGCGACUCUCUGGUCUGUAACUGACGCUGAGGAGCGAAAGCGUGGGGAGCGAACAGGAUUAGAUACCCGUGUAGUCCCUGUCUCUUAUAU
rnacentral:rRNA from 1 species